rnacentral:rRNA from 1 species
AGCGAACGCUGGCGGCAGGCUUAACACAUGCAAGUCGAGCGCCGUAGCAAUACGGAGCGGCAGACGGGAGAGUAACACGUGGGAACGUACCCCUUGGUUCGGAAUAACUCAGGGAAACUUGAGCUAAUACCGGAUACGUCGGCAACGAGAAAGAUUUAUCGCCGAGGGAUCGGCCCGCGUCCGAUUCGCUAGUUGGUGUGGUAAUGGCGCACCAAGGCGACGAUCGGUAGCUGGUCUGAGAGGAUGAUCAGCCUCACUGGGACUGAGACACGGCCCAGACUCCUACGGGAGGCAGCAGUGGGGAAUAUUGGACAAUGGGCGCAAGCCUGAUCCAGCCAUGCCGCGUAGGUGAUGAAGGCCUUAGGGUUGUAAAGCCCUUUCGGCGGGGAAGAUAAUGACGGUACCCGCAGAAGAAGCCCCGGCUAACUUCGUGCCAGCCGCCGCCGUAAUAC